GGGCCAUAGCCUAUUGGUAAAGCACCUAUCUUGUACGCAGGGGGCUUCAGGUUCAAUACCUGGCGUCUCCA